rnacentral:lncRNA from 1 species
CGUGCAUGUAAUUGGCAUGAGAUCUAGAAAGGUAAGUAUGCAGCCAAGCACCAUGGCUCACUCCUGUAAUCCCAGCACUUUUGGAAGCUGAGGCAGGAGCAUCACUUGACCUCAAUAAUUCAAGACCAGUAUGGGCAACAUAGUGAGACCCUGUCUCUACAAAAAAAAAAAAUAAUAAUUAAAAAUAAUUAGCUGGACGUGGUGGUGCAUGCUUGUAGUCCCUGUUACUCAGGAGACUGAAGCAGGAAGAUUGUGUGAGCCCAGGAGGUUGAGGCUGUAGAGACUUGUGAUUGUACCACUGCACUCCAGCCUGUGUGACAGAGCAAGACUGUCUCAAAAAAUAAAAAGAAAUAAAAGAGUAGAAGUUAAAGGAGAAGAAAAUGAGAUCUUUCCAAGCCUUCCUGAAAGAAAAUGAGAAAUACGUCAUUGGCUCUGAAAGCACAAAUGUGAUGAAGCUGAGACCAGGCCUUGCAAGGAAGGCUGAUUGACAGGAUGUGAAGCUGAUGCAGGGCCAUUUGUUGGGGUGAUACUGCAGAGCACCAGCUGGGUCUGUAGAUAGAGGCAAGUAAUGACAGUGCUGCCUCUCACCUCUCCCAUCAUCUUGUGCCUUCCUGUGUGCCUAAAGUCAAGAGGACUUUACUUGUGUUUGGGGCCUUCUCUGAUUAACACAAGGCAGUGGCAGGGAUGGGGGCAGCAGAAAAAGAAAGAAGCAUCUUGUGACCCAGGAAGACAGUGGCCUUGGCAUAUUUGUAUAUAAUUUAGAAAAUCAGGAUCUAUGUACCUUGCUUGACUCAUAGUAGGUAUUCAAUAAACUGUUGUACUUUCUUAGAAAAAAAAAGCCAUGAAUAAAUGCAUCUACUCGA